rnacentral:rRNA from 1 species
AUGGCUUCAGCAGGCUCAACCGGCCUCGCUCUCCAGGCGGCCGCCGUCGCUGCCAUGCUCGCCAUGCUGGCCCUGCCUUCGUCGGGCCGCUGUCCAUCGCUGGGGCCGGCACCACCGCCACUGGCACAGGGGGCACCGCCACCCGCACCGACAUCAUUACCACCAGCGCCGGCGCCCGCGCCGGCACCGGUGGUAUCGUGUGGGGCCUGUGCUCAAUCGUUCGGGAGCUCGAUCUGCAGAUCGUUGUGCAUGGCCUCUGUCAACGAGAAAUGCCCUUGUCUGCUGGUUCAACCUCGCCUCUGCCACGAGUGCGCGACCGCCGUCCACAAGUGCACGGCCAACUGCACCGGCGACAGCUGUGACUGCGGCGGCGCCGAAUGCGAUGCCACUUGUGCCUUAUAUGUUAAAUGUAUAGAGUGCCCGGAAAACCAAAGUAAGAUGUGCCGGAUCACCUGCACGGGCGGGUGCAACGGGCCGUAG